AGAAGUGGAAACACCCAUGUGUUUCAAGUUCUGAACAAGUGCCAGGCCCCAAGGUGGUGACAUUAGCACAGUGUCUCACUGAAUCCUCCCAGAGAGCCUAGAACUGGAAUCCUCUCUUGAUUUAUAGGAGAAACAGGCUUUGAGAGGGCACUUUCCAGAACUGCAUCCACCCACUCCCUUGGAUCCACAGACAACAAGGAUUUGAACCUCCGUCAUACCACUUGAGGUGAUGGUAAAUUUGAGACAGAGGACAGUUCCCUGAUGAAUCAGGCUAUAGUGGAAGUCUGUUCAUCACGUGCUCGGCUCCCGGGAGACACUAUCAAAGGCCAGGAGAAUGGGAGGUUGAGAAGUUCAAAGUCCUGGAAGAAAAAGCAGCCACCAGCAGUGAGUGGAUGCUAUGUCCAGCAAAGUAGUCCGUCAGAAAGGGGAGAUGAGGACUUCACCAGAGGACAACUUUCUGGAGUCCAUUCUCUCCUUCUACCACGUGGGUCCUAAGGAUCGAACUCUGGUAAUGGGGCUCAGCAGGAGGCGCCUUCAUCUGCUGAACCACCUUGCUGUCCCAACAAAGAGCUCUUGCAACAACCAUAUGCAACAACCAACAUGAUUUAACAGAGGCAUCUCCACUCUGGAGAGAUUCCCAGCCAAAAGCGUAUGAAAGCCUGUUUAUUGGCCAUCCUCUGUCACUAGAAGACUCCAAGUGGGAGCAAAGACAUAACUAGGGGAGUAUACACACCUAUGGGAAUGGGCAAAUUAAACAAUGAAAACAAGGGCAGUCCCUCUGCUGGUGAGGAUCCAGGCAACAGGAACUUGCAGAGACAGGUGGCAGAUGCCCUUUGGAGGACUC